CGGGGGAUACUGCCAGACUGGAACCGGGAGAGGUAAGAGGUACUACAGGGGUAGGAGUGAGAUCUUGUAAUCCCUGUGGGACCACCUGUGGCGAAGGCGUCUUACCAGAACGGGUUCGACGGUGAGGGACGAAAGCUGGGGGCACGAACCGGAUUAGAUACCCGGGUAGUCCCAGCCGUAAACGAUGCUCGCUAGGUGUCCAGGCAUGGCGCGACCGUGUCUGGUGCCGCAGGGAAGCCGUGAAGCGAGCCACCUGGGAAGUACGGCCGCAAGGCUGAAACUUAAAGGAAUUGGCGGGGGAGCACAACAACGGGUGGAGCCCUGCGGUUUAAUUGGACUCAACGCCGGACAACUCACCGGGGGCGACAGCAAUAUGUAGGCCAAGCUGAAGACUUUGCCUGAAUCGCUGAGAAGAGGUGCAUGG
rnacentral:rRNA from 1 species